rnacentral:rRNA from 1 species
GACGAACGCUGGCGGCGUGCCUAAUACAUGCAAGUUGAGCGCUGAAGGUUGGUACUUGUACCAACUGGAUGAGCAGCGAACGGGUGAGUAACGCGUGGGGAAUCUGCCUUUUAGCGGGGGACAACAUUUGGAAACGAAUGCUAAUACCGCAUAACAACUUUAAACACAAGUUUUAAGUUUGAAAGAUGCAAUUGCAUCACUCAAAGAUGAUCCCGCGUUGUAUUAGCUAGUUGGUGAGGUAAAGGCUCACCAAGGCGAUGAUACAUAGCCGACCUGAGAGGGUGAUCGGCCACACUGGGACUGAGACACGGCCCAGACUCCUACGGGAGGCAGCAGUAGGGAAUCUUCGGCAAUAGACGAAAGUCUGACCGAGCAACGCCGCGUGAGUGAAGAAGGUUUUCGGAUCGUAAAACUCUGUUGGUAGAGAAGAACGUUGGUGAGAGUGGAAAGCUCAUCAAGUGACGGUAACUACCCAGAAAGGGACGGCUAACUACGUG